UUUUCUGAUUCUUUACAAGUUAAAAAUAUGGUUGGAAGUGGAGAAUCUCCAUGUUUUCCCUUAGUUGUUUUUCUGGUAUCAAAUUUAUCUUCAUUUGAUCUAGGUUUACUACUGUGUUUGGUUGUUGCUGCUGAUGAUUGGCUUCCUUUUCUCUUUUGGAUCUUCUUGACCUUUAUUUGGUCAUUCCCCUGCUAUAUUUUUUAGUUUCAAGGUAUCUACCAUCUUCAUCUUGAAUGGAGUCAAUUUUGAGUUAAAAAUCUAUAUUUGGAACUCGUUUGGUUAGCUAAUCUUUAAUGUUAGUUGUGAAAAUCAUGACAUGGUUGAAUCUAGGGUUGACUAAGUCAUAUGUUAAUAUUAGCUUAAAUGGUUGUUGAAUUCAAUCAUGAAAUAUGUGAUAUUAUGAUGUACAUGUGUUAAAACUUGACAAAGUUGAUUGUUGAAUCAGUGUAUAUGCCUAUAAAACUAUGUCCUAAAUUCCUCUCUUAUAGUAGCACCAAAGGAAGUGAAUCUGACCCUUUAAAUGGUCAUAUGCAUCUCUUAAUAAUGCAUAGGUGUCUUGAUUUCUUCAGUAUAUGUCUAAGUUAUUUUCCCUCCCCCACUUUUUUCCUUUACUGAAACGAGAGCUAUGAAAUAAAUCAUGGUUUGAAAAUCUUUGCAUGUCUGUAGGGCUGACCUUAAACUUGGUUAGACUUAUUGACAAUAUUGUUUUUCCUUUACUCAUUUUUGUACUAGGAAUAACUUGGUAACAUUGUAUGCCCCUAGAUAUGAAGAUGUUUUGUGAAUGUAACCCUUUUCACAUCAUCAAAUUCAUGAGAAUCUUGGCUCAUUCAAAGCUGGAGCAGUAGCAGUUUAGAAAUUUCCUCUUUUUAUUUUAUUAUAAUUUAGUUUAAGGAGCUAAUGUAAUUUAUAUUUUGUAUCUUAUUUAAUUCUGGAAUUAGUAAUAAAUUGUACUAGACUUUAUAAAUUUAUAUACUCGUUAAUGAUGC
rnacentral:lncRNA from 1 species